rnacentral:rRNA from 1 species
UACGUAGGGUGCGAGCGUUGUCCGGAAUUAUUGGGCGUAAAGAGCUCGUAGGCGGUUUGUUGCGUCGGCCGUGAAAACCUGCAGCUUAACUGUGGGCCUGCGGUCGAUACGGGCAGACUUGAGUUCGGUAGGGGAGACUGGAAUUCCUGGUGUAGCGGUGAAAUGCGCAGAUAUCAGGAGGAACACCCGUGGCGAAGGCGGCUCUCUGGGACGGUACUGACGCUGAGACGCGAAAGCGUGGGGAGCGAACAGG